rnacentral:lncRNA from 1 species
AGGAAACAUCUGCAUUGUGGAUACGAUAUGUCACAGGCAAGUAAGUUGGCAGUAAAGAAAACCUCUGUAUGCUUUCCAGGAUCCCUCGACUCUCAGUCACUUUAGAAAAAAGUGCUGCCAGGCUCAAGAGGAGAGGUGACAACAGAUGCCCCAUAUUGCUAAUCCCAGAAGUGCACAUCCUAGGGUUUGUGGGAAGUUAGGGCUCAGUUUCA